rnacentral:snRNA from 1 species
CUAAGGGGAUGCUUACAUGUACUAAAAUGGGAAUAAUGCAGAGAAGAUUGGCAUGGCCUCUGCACAAGGAAGAAUAAUAGAAGCAGGCUUCCUUCUU